AACGAACGCUGGCGGCGUGGAUUAGGCAUGCAAGUCGAACGCGAAAGAGGGAGCAAUCCCUCAAGUAGAGUGGCGAACGGGUGAGUAACGCGUGAAGAACCUGCCUUCAACAGGGGGAUAACACUCCAACGGGGUGGCUAAUACCGCAUGAGACCACGGGUCCGCAUGGACCUGAGGUCAAAGGUGGCCUCUGCUUGCAAGCUACCGGUUGAAGAUGGCUUCGCGUCCCAUAGCUAGUUGGCGGUGUAAAAGACCACCAAGGCGACGAUGGGUAGCUGGUCUGAGAGGAUGGUCAGCCACACUGGGACUGAGAUACGGCCCAGACUCCUACGGGAGGCAGCAGUCGAGAGGCUUUUGGCAAUGGGGAAACCCUGACCAAGCGACGCCGCGUGGAGGAUGAAGGCCCUUGGGUUGUAAACUCCUUUUGUCGGGGAAGAAAUGCGAUCAGGUAAACAAUCUGGUCGUUUGAC
rnacentral:rRNA from 1 species